rnacentral:rRNA from 1 species
GUGGGGGAUAUUGCACAAUGGAGGAAACUCUGAUGCAGCGACGCCGCGUGAGGGAAGAAGGUCUUCGGAUUGUAAACCUCUGUCUUCAGGGACGAAACAAAUGACGGUACCUGAGGAGGAAGCCACGGCUAACUACGUGCCAGCAGCCGCGGUAAUACGUAGGUGGCAAGCGUUGUCCGGACUUACUGGGUGUAAAGGUAGCGCAGGCGGGGAAGCAAGUUGGGAGUGAAAUCUAUGGGCUUAACCCAUAAAUUGCUGUCUAAACUGUUUGUCUUGAGUAGUGCAGAGGUAGGCGGAAGUCCCGGUGUAGCGGUGGAAUGCGUAGAUAUCGGGAGGAACACCAGUGGCGAAGGCGGCCUACUGGGCACCAACUGACGCUGAGGCUCGAAAGUAUGGGUAGCAAACAGGAUUAGAUACCUGGGUAGUCC